rnacentral:rRNA from 1 species
AUUGAACGCUGGCGGCAGGCCUAACACAUGCAAGUCGAGCGGAUGACGGGAGCUUGCUCCUUGAUUCAGCGGCGGACGGGUGGGUAAUGCCUAGGAAUCUGCCUGGUAGUGGGGGACAACGUUUCGAAAGGAACGCUAAUACCGCAUACGUCCUACGGGAGAAAGCGGGGGACCUUCGGUCCUUGCGCUAUCAGAUGAGCCUAGGUCGGAUUAGCUAGUUGGUGGGGUAAUGGCUCACCAAGGCGACGAUCCGUAACUGGUCUGAGAGGAUGAUCAGUCACACUGGAACUGAGACACGGUCCAGACUCCUACGGGAGGCAGCAGUGGGGAAUAUUGGACAAUGGGCGAAAGCCUGAUCCAGCCAUGCCGCGUGUGUGAAGAAGGUCUUCGGAUUGUAAAGCACUUUAAGUUGGGAGGAAGGGCAGUAAGUUAAUACCUUGCUGUUUUGACGUUACCGACAGAAUAAGCACCGGCUAACUCUGUGCCAGCCGCCGCCGUAA